rnacentral:rRNA from 1 species
CUCGAAGAGAGCCGUAACACAGGUGCUGCAUGGCUGUCGUCAGCUCGUGUCGUGAGAUGUUGGGUUAAGUCCCGCAACGAGCGCAACCCUUGUCAUUAGUUGCUACAUUCAGUUGGGCACUCUAAUGAGACUGCCGGUGACAAGCCGGAGGAAGGUGGGGAUGACGUCAAGUCCUCAUGGCCCUUAUAGGUGGGGCUACACACGUCAUACAAUGGCUGGUACAAAGGGUUGCCGAACCCGCGAGGGGGAGACCAAUCCCAUAAAGCCAGUCGUAGUCCGGAUCGUAGUCUGCAACUCGACUACGUGAAGUCGGAAUCGCUAGUAAUCGUGGAUCAGAAUGUCACGGUGAAUACGUUCCCGGGUCUU